ensembl:miRNA gga-mir-1724 gga-mir-1724
UGUUCGUGCUGUGCACCGCGGGGUGCUGAGCGUUGGCUGCGCUGCGUCCCCAACAGCAACCCGGCUCCGCUCAGGUCCUGCCUUGCGCCGCGUCCUGGAACA